rnacentral:ncRNA from 1 species
GCUUAAGCCAUGCAUGUCUAAGUACACACGGGUGGUACAGUGAAACUGCGAAUGGCUCAUUAAAUCAGUUAUGGUUCCUUUGGUCGCUCCUCUCCCGCUCCUUGGAUAACUGUGGUAAUUCUAGAGCUAAUACAUGCCGACGAGCGCCGACCUCCGGGGACGCGUGCAUUUAUCAGACCAAAACCAACCCGAGCCCGCCCGGCAGCUUUGGUGACUCUAUUUAACCUCAGCUGACAUGGCGUGGGCGUUGCCAUGGUGACGGCGGGAGAUUUAAAGGCAGUUGUAACUCGACACUAGCACUCAGUUCCUGAGAUCAGCUAGAUCGGAGCCAGCUCAGCCGGUCC